rnacentral:sRNA from 1 species
AGUGAGGCCAGCUGCGGUGAAGAGGGUGCCUUCUUGCCUGGAGUUCCCUCUGCUACGGCUGCCCCCUCCCAGCCCUGGCCCACUGAGCCAGACCCAGCUGUCCCCAUUCCCACUUCUGGUCCUGCCACCUCCUGAGCCACCUUCUCACCUGGUCUGGGUAGAGUAAUGGCCUCGAGCACAGGUGACCAGAGCCAGAUGGUGAAAAACGGACUGAGAACGAAGGUGCUGACGCUGGACAGCAUGAACCCACGUGUGCAGAGGGUGGAGUACGCGGUGCGUGGCCCCAUAGUGCAGCGAGCCUUGGAGCUGGAGCAGGAGCUGCGCCAGGGUGUGAAGAAGCCUUUCACCGAGGUCAUCCGUGCCAACAUUGGGGACGCACAGGCUAUGGGGCAGAGGCCCAUCACCUUCCUGCGCCAGGUGAGGCUCCUGCACUGCCCGCUGCACCCGCCCACCCCCAGCCCAUGUGCCCUGGCCUCAGCACUCCGUCUUCCCAGGUCUUGGCCCUCUGUGUUAACCCUGAUCUUCUGAGCAGCCCCAACUUCCCUGAGGAUGCCAAGAAAAGGGCGGAGCGCAUCCUGCAGGCGUGUGGGGGCCACAGUCUGGGUGAGAGCCAGGGCCAGGAGGAAGCAGAGGGCCGCCCUGCCACUGGAGGAGGGAAGU